rnacentral:rRNA from 1 species
UACCAGCAUCCCGAGUGGUCGGGACGAUUAUUGGGCCUAAAGCAUCCGUAGCCGGCCUUACAAGUCCUCCGUUAAAUCCAGCUGCUUAACAGAUGGGCUGCGGAGGAUACUAUAAGACUAGGAGGCAGGAGAGGCAAGCGGUACUCAGUGGGUAGGGGUAAAAUCCGUUGAUCCAUUGAAGACCACCAGUGGCGAAGGCGGCUUGCCAGAAUGCGCUCGACGGUGAGGGAUGAAAGCUGGGGGAGCAAACCGG